rnacentral:lncRNA from 1 species
CUGACAGCUGCUGCCUUUUCAUGGAAUGUUAAAAUAUUGCUACUUAAUGUGAUUAUUGUUGUGCCAGAUUUAAAUAUUUUGUAUUUGUUACUAUUGCUAAGUCACAAACUAUCCUAAAAUUAGGGGCAUAAAAUUAUAAUCAUUUUAAUGCCUUUUUGGAUUCUAUCAGUCAGGAACUCAGAUAGGACAUAUUGGGGAUGGCUUGCUCUACUUCUCAAUGUCAGGGGCUUUGGAUGGGGAGAUUUGAAUGCUAGUCAUAAUGGAAUGACUUGGAGCUGAAAUCAUCCCAAGACUUACUCCAUUAAUGAUGGUUGAUGAUGGCUGUUAGCUGGUACCUCACCUAGGGCUAUUGGCUUGAGCCCUCCAUAUCCAUGGCUUCUAUAUAGGGCUUUUUGGUUUCCUCACAGCAUGGUGGCUGGGUUUCAAGAAAAUGUUUCUAAAAGAAACACAUGGAAGCUUCCUAUUCUUUGUGACCUACUCUCAGAAAUCACAUAGUGACACUUUAACUGUACUCACUAAAGUAGUAGUAGACACAAGCCCCUACCCAGGUUCAAGGGAAAAAGACAGAAACCCCACCUCUCAAGGUGAAAAGUAUCAAAGAUAUGUAGGACCAUUUUUAAGACUGCCACAUCAAAAAAAAAAAAAAAAAGACUUGUCAUUUUUAUCUUUUUUAUUCAUCUGUCUUUUUCCCCUAUGCCUGCUUUUAAGAUUUUUUUUCUUUAACACAUGUUGUCAAAAAAUUAAUUGUGUCAUGCUAUGGUUUUCUUUGUAUUCUUCCUAGUUAGAAUCUUUUGAGCUUCCUAUAUUUAUACAUUUAUAGUUUUUAUAAAAUUUGGAAAAAAGUUUUGCCAUCAUUUCUUUAAAUACUUGACAUGCCCUUUGCUCUUUGCUAGGCUUUCAAGUACAUAUACAUUAAGUCACUUGUUAUUUUCCC